rnacentral:rRNA from 1 species
GUUGUAUAGUUAAGUGACUAAGCGUACAAGGUGGAUGCCUUGGCAAUCAGAGGCGAAGAAGGACGUGCUAAUCUGCGAAAAGCUUGGAUGAGUCGAUAAGAGGCGUUUAAUCCAAGAUAUCCGAAUGGGGAAACCCAGUAGAUGAAGAAUCUACUAUCAACAAGUGAAUUCAUAGCUUGUUGAGGCAAACCGGGAGAACUGAAACAUCUAAGUACCCCGAGGAAAAGAAAUCAACCGAGAUUUCGUCAGUAGCGGCGAGCGAAAGCGAAAGAGCCAGUAAGUGAUAGCAAUAUAGUGAGGAGAAUGUGUUGGGAAACACAAUCAAAGAGGGUGAUAAUCCCGUAUCUAAAAACUAUAUUGUGGUACUAAGCUAACGAGAAGUAGGGCGGGACACGUGAUAUCCUGUUUGAAGAAGGGGGGCCCAUCCUCCAAGGCUAAAUACUCCUGAUUGACCGAUAGUGAACCAGUACUGUGAAGGAAAGGCGAAAAGAACCCCGGUGAGGGGAGUGAAAUAGAACCUGAAACCUUGUACGUACAAGCAGUGGGAGCCCCAUCACUUAAUCCGAUUGGAAGGUGAUGAAAAGCAACCGCACUUAAACAAUGGUAAGAGGAGCGAAGCGAGUCAAACCACCCAAAAGAAGCAGUGGGAUUAAGUGAUGGGGUGACUGCGUACCUUUUGUAUAAUGGGUCAGCGACUUAUAUUUUGUAGCGAGGUUAACCGAAUAGGGGAGCCGAAGGGAAACCGAGUCUUAACUGGGCGAAUAGUUGCAAGGUAUAGACCCGAAACCCGGUGAUCUAGCCAUGGGCAGGUUGAAGGUUGGGUAACACUAACUGGAGGACCGAACCGACUAAUGUUGAAAAAUUAGCGGAUGACUUGUGGCUGGGGGUGAAAGGCCAAUCAAACCGGGAGAUAGCUGGUUCUCCCCGAAAUCUAUUUAGGUAGAGCCUUGAGGUGACACCUUUGGGGGUAGAGCACUGUUUCGGCUAGGGGUCCAUCCCGGAUUACCAACCCGAUGCAAACUACGAAUACCAAAGAGUGAUACUCAGGAGACACACGGCGGGUGCUAACGUCCGUCGUGGAGAGGGAAACAACCCAGACCGCCAGCUAAGGUCCCCAAGUCUAUAUUAAGUGGGAAACGAAGUGGGAAGGCUUAGACAGCUAGGAUGUUGGCUUAGAAGCAGCCAUCAUUUAAAGAAAGCGUAAUAGCUCACUAGUCGAGUCGGCCUGCGCGGAAGAUGUAACGGGGCUGAAAUAUAGCACCGAAGCUGCGGCAUCAG